UUGGAUUGUAGGCUGAAACUCGCCUACAUGAAGCUGGAAUUGCUAGUAAUCACAGGUCAGCAUACUGUGGUGAAUACGUUCCCGGGCCUUGUACACACCGCCCGUCACACCAUGAGAGUUGAGAAUACCCGAAGCCCAUAUCAAAGUGGUCGAAGGUAGGCUUGAUGAUUGGGGUGAAGUCGUAACAAGGUAAC
rnacentral:rRNA from 1 species